UUAAGUUAUUAAGGGCGCACGGUGGAUGCCUUGGCACUAGAAGCCGAUGAAGGACGUUACUAACGACGAUAUGCUUUGGGGAGCUGUAAGUAAGCUUUGAUCCAGAGAUUUCCGAAUGGGGAAACCCAGCAUGAGUUAUGUCAUGUUAUCGAUAUGUGAAUACAUAGCAUAUCAGAAGGCACACCCGGAGAACUGAAACAUCUUAGUACCCGGAGGAAGAGAAAGAAAAUUCGAUUCCCUUAGUAGCGGCGAGCGAAACGGGAAGAGCCCAAACCAACAAGCUUGCUUGUUGGGGUUGUAGGACACUCUAUACGGAGUUACAAAGGACGACAUUAGACGAAUCAUCUGGAAAGAUGAAUCAAAGAAGGUAAUAAUCCUGUAGUCGAAAAUGUUGUCUCUCUUGAGUGGAUCCUGAGUACGACGGAGCACGUGAAAUUCCGUCGGAAUCUGGGAGGACCAUCUCCUAAGGCUAAAUACUCUCUAGUGACCGAUAGUGAACCAGUACCGUGAGGGAAAGGUGAAAAGCACCCCGGAAGGGGAGUGAAAUAGAACCUGAAACCGUGUGCUUACAAGUAGUCAGAGCCCGUUAAUGGGUGAUGGCGUGCCUUUUGUAGAAUGAACCGGCGAGUUACGAUUUGAUGCAAGGUUAAGCAGUAAAUGUGGAGCCGUAGCGAAAGCGAGUCUGAAUAGGGCGUUUAGUAUUUGGUCGUAGACCCGAAACCAGGUGAUCUACCCUUGGUCAGGUUGAAGUUCAGGUAACACUGAAUGGAGGACCGAACCGACUUACGUUGAAAAGUGAGCGGAUGAACUGAGGGUAGCGGAGAAAUUCCAAUCGAACCUGGAGAUAGCUGGUUCUCUCCGAAAUAGCUUUAGGGCUAGCCUCAAGUGAUGAUUAUUGGAGGUAGAGCACUGUUUGGACGAGGGGCCCCUCUCGGGUUACCGAAUUCAGACAAACUCCGAAUGCCAAUUAAUUUAACUUGGGAGUCAGAACAUGGGUGAUAAGGUCCGUGUUCGAAAGGGAAACAGCCCAGACCACCAGCUAAGGUCCCAAAAUAUAUGUUAAGUGGAAAAGGAUGUGGCGUUGCCCAGACAACUAGGAUGUUGGCUUAGAAGCAGCCAUCAUUUAAAGAGUGCGUAAUAGCUCACUAGUCGAGUGACACUGCGCCGAAAAUGUACCGGGGCUAAACAUAUUACCGAAGCUGUGGAUUGUCCUUUGGACAAUGGUAGGAGAGCGUUCUAAGGGCGUUGAAGCAUGAUCGUAAGGACAUGUGGAGCGCUUAGAAGUGAGAAUGCCGGUGUGAGUAGCGAAAGACGGGUGAGAAUCCCGUCCACCGAUUGACUAAGGUUUCCAGAGGAAGGCUCGUCCGCUCUGGGUUAGUCGGGUCCUAAGCUGAGGCCGACAGGCGUAGGCGAUGGAUAACAGGUUGAUAUUCCUGUACCACCUAUAAUCGUUUUAAUCGAUGGGGGGACGCAGUAGGAUAGGCGAAGCGUGCGAUUGGAUUGCACGUCUAAGCAGUAAGGCUGAGUAUUAGGCAAAUCCGGUACUCGUUAAGGCUGAGCUGUGAUGGGGAGAAGACAUUGUGUCUUCGAGUCGUUGAUUUCACACUGCCGAGAAAAGCCUCUAGAUAGAAAAUAGGUGCCCGUACCGCAAACCGACACAGGUAGUCAAGAUGAGAAUUCUAAGGUGAGCGAGCGAACUCUCGUUAAGGAACUCGGCAAAAUGACCCCGUAACUUCGGGAGAAGGGGUGCUCUUUAGGGUUAACGCCCAGAAGAGCCGCAGUGAAUAGGCCCAAGCGACUGUUUAUCAAAAACACAGGUCUCUGCUAAACCGUAAGGUGAUGUAUAGGGGCUGACGCCUGCCCGGUGCUGGAAGGUUAAGAGGAGUGGUUAGCUUCUGCGAAGCUACGAAUCGAAGCCCCAGUAAACGGCGGCCGUAACUAUAACGGUCCUAAGGUAGCGAAAUUCCUUGUCGGGUAAGUUCCGACCCGCACGAAAGGCGUAACGAUUUGGGCACUGUCUCAACGAGAGACUCGGUGAAAUCAUAGUACCUGUGAAGAUGCAGGUUACCCGCGACAGGACGGAAAGACCCCGUGGAGCUUUACUGUAGCCUGAUAUUGAAAUUCGGCACAGCUUGUACAGGAUAGGUAGGAGCCUUUGAAACGUGAGCGCUAGCUUACGUGGAGGCGCUGGUGGGAUACUACCCUAGCUGUGUUGGCUUUCUAACCCGCACCACUUAUCGUGGUGGGAGACAGUGUCAGGCGGGCAGUUUGACUGGGGCGGUCGCCUCCUAAAAGGUAACGGAGGCGCUCAAAGGUUCCCUCAGAAUGGUUGGAAAUCAUUCAUAGAGUGUAAAGGCAUAAGGGAGCUUGACUGCGAGACCUACAAGUCGAGCAGGGUCGAAAGACGGACUUAGUGAUCCGGUGGUUCCGCAUGGAAGGGCCAUCGCUCAACGGAUAAAAGCUACCCCGGGGAUAACAGGCUUAUCUCCCCCAAGAGUUCACAUCGACGGGGAGGUUUGGCACCUCGAUGUCGGCUCAUCGCAUCCUGGGGCUGUAGUCGGUCCCAAGGGUUGGGCUGUUCGCCCAUUAAAGCGGUACGCGAGCUGGGUUCAGAACGUCGUGAGACAGUUCGGUUCCUAUCCGUCGUGGGCGUAGGAAAUUUGAGAGGAGCUGUCCUUAGUACGAGAGGACCGGGAUGGACAUACCUCUGGUGUACCAGUUGUCGUGCCAACGGCAUAGCUGGGUAGCUAUGUGUGGACGGGAUAAGUGCUGAAAGCAUCUAAGCAUGAAGCCCCCCUCAAGAUGAGAUUUCCCAACUUCGGUUAUAAGAUCCCUCAAAGAUGAUGAGGUUAAUAGGUUCGAGGUGGAAGCAUGGUGACAUGUGGAGCUGACGAAUACUAAUCGAUCGAAGACUUAAUCAA
rnacentral:rRNA from 1 species